GACGAACGCUGGCGGCGUGCCUAAUACAUGCAAGUCGAACGCAGUGGGGACGGGUGAGUAACACGUGGGUAACCUCCCAUCAGAGGGGAGAACACGUGGAAAAAGGUGCUAAACCGAUAUUGGUGGAUGGACCCGCGGUGCAUUAGCUAGUUGGUGAGGUAAAGGCUCACCAAGGCCACGAUGCCUAGCUGGCCUGAGAGGGUGACCAGCCACACUGUGACUGAGACACGGCCCAGACUCCUACGGGAGGCAGCAGUAGGGAAUCUUCGGCAAUGGACGAAAGUCUGACCGAGCAACGCCGCGUGUGUGAAGAAGGUUUUCGGAUCGUAAAACUCUGUUGUCAGAGAAGCGUUAUCUAACCAGAAAGCCACGGCUAACUACGUGCCAGCAGCCGCGGUAAUAC
rnacentral:rRNA from 1 species